rnacentral:rRNA from 1 species
GACGAACGCUGGCGGCGUGCUUAACACAUGCAAGUCGAACGAUGAAGGGGAGCUUGCUCCCUGGAUUAGUGGCGAACGGGUGAGUAACACGCGAGCAACCUGCCCCUAACUCUGGGAUAACGCUUCGAAAGGAGUGCUAAUACCGGAUAUGAGCCUGGAAGACAUCUUCUGGGUUGGAAAGUUUUUCGGUUAGGGAUGGGCUCGCGGCCUAUCAGCUUGUUGGUGAGGUAAAGGCUCACCAAGGCGACGACGGGUAUCCGGCCUGAGAGGGCGACCGGACACACUGGGACUGAGACACGGCCCAGACUCCUACGGGAGGCAGCAGUGGGGAAUAUUGCGCAAUGGGCGAAAGCCUGACGCAGCGACGCCGCGUGAGGGAUGAAGGUCUUCGGAUUGGUAAACCUCUUUCAGCAGGGACGAAGCGAAAGUGACGGUACCUGAAGAAGAAGCACCGGCUAACUACGUG